ACACGACUACAUUAGAUACCCCCUGUAGUCCCAGCCCUAAACGAUGCGCGUUAGGUGUAUCGGUGACCACGAGUCACCGAGGUGCCGAAGGGAAACCGUGAAACGCACCGCCUGGGGAGUACGGUCGCAAGGCUGAAACUUAAAGGAAUUGGCGGGGGAGCACAACAACGGGUGGAGCUUGCGGUUUAAUUGGAUUCAACGCCGGAAAUCUUACCGGGACCGACAGCAACAUGAAGGCCAAGCUGAAGACUUUUGCCGGAUUAGCUG
rnacentral:rRNA from 1 species